rnacentral:rRNA from 1 species
UGGAGGCAGCAGUGGGGAAUCUUGCGCAAUGGACGAAAGUCUGACGCAGCGACGCCGCGUGGGUGAUGAAGGCCUUCGGGUUGUAAAGCCCUGUGGGGAGAGAAGAAUAAGUCGGAGCCAAUACCUCCGGCGAUGACGGUAUCUCCUUAGCAAGCACCGGCUAACUCUGUGCCAGCAGCCGCGGUAAGACAGAGGGUGCAAACGUUGUUCGGAAUUACUGGGCGUAAAGCGUGUGUAGGCGGCUCUGCAAGUCGGAUGUGAAAGCCCCGGGCUCAACCCGGGAAGUGCACCCGAAACUGCAGGGCUUGAGUACCGGAGAGGUUGGUGGAAUUCUCGGUGUAGAGGUGAAAUUCGUAGAUAUCGAGAGGAACACCGGUGGCGAAGGCGGCCAACUGGACGAGUACUGACGCUGAGACACGAAAGCGUGGGGAGCAAACAGGAUUAGAUACCCCGGUAGC